rnacentral:ncRNA from 1 species
CCCCCUGUGCACCACCGACCGACCUUGAUCUUCUGAGAAGGGUUCGAGUGUGAGCAUACCUUUCGGGACCCAAAAGAUAGUCAACUAUGCCUGAGCAGGUGAAGCCAGAGAAAACUCUGGUGGAGGCCCACAACGAUACUAAUGUGCAAAUCGUUCGUCUGACUUGGGUAUAGGGGCGAAAGACUAAUUGAACCUUCAAGUAGCUGGUUCCCUCCAAAGUUUCCCUCAGGAUAGCUGGAGCUCGCGUGCGAGUCCUAUAGAGUAAAGCCAAUAAUUAGAGACCUCGGGGACGCAACGCUCUCGACCUAUUCUCAAACUUUAAAUAGGUAGGACGGCGCGACUGCUUUGUUGAGCCGCGCCAUGGAAUCAAGAGCUCCAAGUGGGCCAUUUUUGGUAAGCAGAACUGGUGAUGUAGGAUGAACUAGAAUCCAGGUUACGGUACAAAACUGUGUGCUAACCUAUAUCCCACAAAGACUGUUGGUCGAUUAAGAUAGCAGUACGGUGGUUAUGGAAGUUGAAAUCCGCUAAGGAGUGUGUAAUAACUUAUCUGCCGAAUCAACUAGUCCUAAAAAUGGAUGGCGCUUAAGCGCCCAACCUAUACCCGACCGUUGGGACAAGUGCCAGGCCCCGAUGAGUAAGAGGGCACGGCAGUUGCUGCAAAACCUUAGGCACAAGCCUGGGCGGAGCGGCUGUCGGUGCAGAUCUUGGUGGUAAUAACAAAUAUUCAAAUGAGAACUUUAAAGGCUGAAGAGGGGAAAGAUUCCAUGUGAACGGAACUUGCACAUGGGUUAGUCGAUCCUAAGGGUCGGGGGAACCCCGACAGAUAGCGUGUUUUGCACGUACUUCAAAAGGAAAUCGAGUUAAAAUUCUUGAACCGGGCUGUCGCGCUCGACGGCAAUGUUAGGAAACCCAGAGACAUCGGUGGGAGCCUCGAGAAGAGUUAUCUUUUUUUUUAACAGCCUGCCCACCCUGGAAUCGGCUCAGUCGGAGGUAGGGUCCAGCGGCUGGAAGAGCAUCGUACGUCGCGUAGUGUUCGGUGCACUCCCGGCGGCCCUUGAAAAUCUGGAGGACCAAAUGCCGUCCACGCCCAGUCGUACUCAUAACCGCAUCAGGUCUCCAAGGUGAAUAGCCUCUGGUCGAUGGAACAAUGUAGGCAAGAAAAGUCGGCAAAAUAGAUCCGUAACUUUGGGAAAAGGAUUGGCUCUGAGGGCUGGGCAUGGGGGUCCCAGUCCCGAACCCGUCGGUUGUCAGUGGACUGCUCGAGAUGCUCCCGCAGUGAGAGCAGGUCGCCGCAUGCCGGUCGGGGGACGGACAGGAAACGGUUCCUUCGGGGGCCUUCCCCGCGCAUCAAACAGCCAACUCAGAACUAGUACGGACAAGGGGAAUCCGACUGUUUGAUUAAAAUAAAGCAUUGCGAUGGUCCCAACGGAUGUUCACGCAAUGUGAUUUCUGCCAGUGCCCUAAAUGUCAAAGUGAAGAAAUUCAACCAAGUGCGGGUAAACGACGGGAGUAACUAUGACUCUCUUAAGGUAGCCAAAUGCUUUGUCAUCUAAUUAGUGAUGCGCAUGAAUGGAUUUACGAGAUUCCCAUUGUCCCUGUCUACUAUCCAGCGAAGCCACAGCCAAAGAAACGGGCUUGGCAGAAUCAGCGGGGAAAGAAGACCCUGUUGAGCUUGACUCUAGUCCGACUUUGUGAAAUAACUUGAGAGGUGUAGUGUAAGUGGGAACCGAAAAGCGAAAGUGAAAUACCACUACUCUUAAUGUUAUUUUACUUAUUCUGUAAAUCGGAAGGGGGGCACUACCCUUCUUUUUGGACCCAAGGUUCGCUCUACAGGCUAAUUCGGGCGGAAGACAUUGUCAGGUGGGGAGUUUGGCUGGGGCAGUACAUCUGUUAAAAGAUAACACAGAUGUCCUAAGAUGAGGUCAACGAGAACAGAAAUCUCAUGUGGAACAGAAGGGUAAAAGCUCGUUUGAUUCUGAUUUCCAGUCCAAAUAUAAACCGUGAAAGGGUGGCCUAACGAUCCUUUAGACAUUCGAAAUUCAAAACUAUAGGUGUUAGAAAAGUUACCAUGGGGAUAAUUGGCUUGUGGUAGCCAAACGUUCAUAGCAACAUUGCUUUUUGAUCCUUUGAUAUCAGCUCUUCCUAUCAUUGUGAAGCAGAAUUCACCAAGUGUUGGAUUGUUCACCCACCAAUAGGGAACAUUAGCUGGGUUUAGACCAUCGUAAAACAGGUUAGUUUUACCAUACUGAUGAUAGUGUCGCAAUAGUAAUUCAACCUAGUACGAGAGAAACCAUUGAUUCACACAAUUGGUCGUCGCGCUUGGUUGACAAGCCAGUGACGCGAAGCUACCGUGUGCUGGAUUAUGACUGAAUGCCUCUAAGUCAGAAUCUGGGAUAGAAGCAACGCAUACGCCCGCCGUCUGCUUGCCGACCCGCGGUAGGGGCCUCAGCCCCCAAGGGCACGUGUCG